AACCACCUGCUAUCUCACCAAAACUCAACCACUUCGUUUCUUCUCCCUCAAUUUAAUCCGCUAACACCCUUCUCCUCACCACACACUCCACAUCCGUUAACACUUCCACCAUACAGUAAAUCCUUAUACUUCCACCAUCUUCCUCCGACCAUCCGGAAACUCCUCACCAUCUCUGAAUCCGCCGGUAGCUCCAACCGUUUCACCGCACCACCAUCAAAGGCUACAAAGUUUGAGUUCUCAUUCUUUUUUAAUUUAUUUUUUCUUCUAUUUUUAAGAGACAUGUGCCAGUUACCAUUCUAUUAUCUAUGCUUGUUCUUCUUAUCUAGAAUUGGAAAUUGGUUUGUAGAAGCAAAGUAG